rnacentral:rRNA from 1 species
GUGGAAUUCUCAGAUUUGCUAAAGACUGACUUAUGCCAAAGCAUUUGCCAAGGAUGUUUUCAUUAAUCAAGAACGAAAGU